AAGACCUUGCGCUUUUGGAGCGGCCGAUGCCUGAUUAGCUUGUUGGUAAGGUAAAAGCUUACCAAGGCUUCGAUCAGUAGCUGGUCUGAGAGGACGACCAGCCACACUGGGACUGAGACACGGCCCAGACUCCUACGGGAGGCAGCAGUGGGGAAUUUUGGACAAUGGGGGCAACCCUGAUCCAGCCAUGCCGCGUGAGCGAAGAAGGCCUUCGGGUUGUAAAGCUCUUUCAGCCGGAACGAAACGGUUACGGUUAAUACCCGUGAUUACUGACGGUACCGGAAGAAGAAGCACCGGCUAACUACGUGCCAGCAGCCGCGGUAAUACGUAGGGUGCGAGCGUUAAUCGGAAUUACUGGGCGUAAAGCGUGCGCAGGUGGUUUUGUAAGUCAGAUGUGAAAGCCCCGGGCUCAACCUGGGAACU
rnacentral:rRNA from 1 species